GACGAACGCCGGCGGCGUGCUUAACACAUGCCAGUCGAACGGAAAGGCCCUACUUUUGUGGGGUGCUCGAGUGGCGAACGGGGGAGUAACACGUGAGUAACCUGCCCUUGACUUUGGGAUAACUUCACGAAACUGGGGCUAAUACCCGAUAGGAGCUCCUGCUGCAUGGUGGGGGUUGGAAAGUUUCGGCGGUUGGGGAUGGACUCGCGGCUUAUCAGCUUGUUGGUGGGGUAGUGGCUUACCAAGGCUUUGACGGGUAGCCGGCCUGAGAGGGUGACCGGCCACAGUGGGACUGAGAUACGGCACAGACUCGUACGGGAGGCAGCAGUGGGGAAUAUUGCACAAUGGGCGGAAGCCUGAUGUAGAAACGCCGCGUGCGGGAUGACGGGCUGCGGGUUGUAAACCGAUGUCGCCUGUGACGAAGCGAGAGUGACGGUAAUGGGUAAAGAAGCACCGGCUAACUACGUG
rnacentral:rRNA from 1 species